rnacentral:rRNA from 1 species
UACGUAGGGGGCUAGCGUUGUCCGGAAUCAUUGGGCGUAAAGCGCGCGUAGGCGGUCAGAUAAGUCCGGUGUGAAAGUCAGAGGCUCAACCUUUGAAUGCCGCUGGAAACUGUCUGGCUUGAGUCCGGAAGGGGCGAGUGGAAUUCCUGGUGUAGCGGUGAAAUGCGCAGAUAUCAGGAGGAACACCAAUGGCGAAGGCAGCUCGCUGGAACGGUACUGACGCUGAGGCGCGAAAGCGUGGGGAGCGAACAGG